rnacentral:rRNA from 1 species
CCUACGGGGCGCAGCAGUGGGGAAUAUUGGACAAUGGGCGAAAGCCUGAUCCAGCCAUGCCGCGUGUGUGAAGAAGGCCUUCGGGUUGUAAAGCACUUUCAGUGGGGAAGAAAGCCUUGGGGCUAAUACCCUCGAGGAAGGACAUCACCCACAGAAGAAGCACCGGCUAACUCCGUGCCAGCAGCCGCGGUAAUACGGAGGGUGCGAGCGUUAAUCGGAAUUACUGGGCGUAAAGCGCGCGUAGGCGGUCUGAUAAGCCGGUUGUGAAAGCCCCGGGCUCAACCUGGGAACGGCAUCCGGAACUGUCAGGCUAGAGUGCAGGAGAGGAAGGUAGAAUUCCCGGUGUAGCGGUGAAAUGCGUAGAGAUCGGGAGGAAUACCAGUGGCGAAGGCGGCCUUCUGGACUGACACUGACGCUGAGGUGCGAAAGCGUGGGUAGCAAACAGGAUUGGAUACCCGAGUAGUC